GGAAGUAGUUGAAAGGGAUGUUAAGGAGAAAGGGCACAAGGAGGAUGACAAAGAAGAGGGAAAAGGUGGAUUUAUCGAAAAAGUCAAGGAUUUUAUCCAUGAUAUUGGUGAAAAGAUUGAGGAAACAAUUGGAUUUGGGAAGCCAACUGCUGAUGUUACUGCAGUUCACAUUCCUAAAAUUAAUCUUGAAAGGGCAGAUAUUGUUAUUGACGUGCUCAUUAAAAACCCGAAUCCUAUACCGAUCCCUCUAAUUGACAUAAACUACUUGGUUGAGAGUGAUGGAAGGAAAUUGGUUUCUGGAUUGAUCCCAGAUUCUGGAACUAUUCAUGCACAUGGCGAGGAGACUGUCAAAAUCCCUGUUACUCUGAUUUAUGAUGACAUUAAAAAUGCAUAUGAUGAUAUCAAGCCUGGGAUGAUUAUUCCAUAUAAGAUCAAGGUUGACCUGAUUGUAGAUGUGCCGGUUUUUGGAAGGUUGACUCUUCCACUUGAGAAAAAUGGAGAGAUCCCCAUUCCUUACAAGCCCGAUAUUGAUCUCGAGAAGAUUAAGUUUGAGAGAUUCUCAUUUGAAGAAACUGUUGCAAUUCUUCAUUUGAAGUUGGAAAAUAAGAACGACUUUGACAUGGCCCUGAAUUCACUUGAUUAUGAAGUUUGGCUAUCAGAUGCGAGC
rnacentral:lncRNA from 1 species